CUCCCCACCCCCAGCAGGAAUAGACUUAAUUCCUCAAGCCCUGUGGCCCUGGUCCUGGCUCUGUGGUCCUCUCUGCCUCAAGGUCUGUCCCCAACAACCCAUCCCAGAGCCCACAGUUCAAUAACAUGUUCAUCCUGGAUCCAGUCCCUAUGAUAGGCAACCAGAAUGCAGUCCUGCUGGGAGCCUCCAGGAGACAGGACAGAACAUACCUUGGAGUUACCCUACCA
rnacentral:lncRNA from 1 species